rnacentral:lncRNA from 1 species
CUUUAAAUAUCUCUUGCCAUUCCCUCCUGGCCUGUAGUGUUUCUGUAGGGAAAUCAGCUGAUAACCUUAUGGGGGUUCCCUUGUAGGUAACAAUCUGUUUUUCUCUUGCUGCCUUUAGGAUCCUCUCUUUAUCACUAACUGUUGCCAUUUUUAUUAUGAUGUGUCUUGGUGUGGGUCUGUUUGGGUUCAGUUUGUUUGGGGCCCUCUGUGCUUCUUGUAUCUUGAACCCAGUAUCCUUUAGAUUUGGGAAGUUUCCAGCGAUAAUUUCUUCAAAUAUAUUUUCCAUCCACUUAUCUUUUUCUACUCCUUCUGGAAUUCCUAUUAUGCGUAGAUUGGCCCGCUUUAUAUUAUUCCAUAGGUCUCUUAUAUUGCUUUCCAGUUUUUUGAUUCGGUUUUCUGUCUGUUGACCAGAUUGAGUGAUUUCCAUUAUUCUACCUUCCAUAUCACAGAUUCGUUCUUCUGCAUUAUUCAUUCUGGUUUUUACUGCCCUUAUUUCAGUUUGCAUCUCUGCAAAUGAAUGUUGUAGUUUUUCUUGGCUCCUCCUUAUAUUUUCUAGCUCCUUUCUGAGGGAGUCUGCAUUACUGUUCCUAUCUUCUCUUCAUUCCUUCAGUAUUUUCACUAUUUCUCUUUUGAACUCCAGGUCUGUCUGACUGCAGAGAUCUGUUUCAUUGUGGACUGUUUUAGGUGAGUUCUCCUGUUGGUUUGACUGGGGGUGGUUUCUCAGCUUCUUCAUCUUGCUUGUUGUUUUCCUUCUCCUGAAGGAGUUGUACUCUCCGUGAUCAGGCAGUGUUUGCCUUGUCACUGCCGUGGAAUAUUUCCUGAGGGCUGGCAUUGUUGGUCAAUCUUUUUUGAGGCAGUGUGGCUUUUCUGGAGUGUUGAUGGGGCUAACAGUGUUUCUUUGAAGCAAAGAAGGACUUCCUGAGGGCAGACAGGACUGGGAGGUCCACACCACGAUGGUAGCAGAUUUCACUUGGUCAUGCAGAGCUUGCUCUGGUGUUUUUAGGCUGUGGGAUUCUUGCAGGGGGUUGGCGGUGUUGGGCAGCUGCUCCUCAGGAGUGCAGCACCCCCUGGGGGCUGGAGAAGCUCUCUGGGUCACUGAGAACCCAGGAGGCUCUUCCCUAGGGCAGCCCAACUCAGAAGGAUGGCCUGCGAAUGUAGGUGGAUAUUUUCACAGUCUGGCCAAGCUUGUUCUAGCUUUUCUGGGCUGCAGGCCUUUUCUCGGGGGCUGGUGGUGUUUGGUGCUGCUCUGCGGAAGUGUAGCCCCUCCAAAGGGCAAGCAGGCCUGUGCAGGGACAGCCCCUGCAGUGGUAGGCUUCAGGCAAUUUUUGAGGCCAGCCCUCCUGGAUGGCAGGCAGCCCCAGGUCUGGCGAGAGUGUAGGGGGUGGCAGGCGUGGGGGGAGGGGAAUGCCCUGGGAAGCACAGCUUUCAGCCAGCUAGCGGGCCUGUAAGCUUGCUGUGUCAUGGGGGGUAUUCUAUGGGGACCCACCCCUUCUUCUCUCCCCUCCCCAGCAUGGGCGCAGACCAGGCUCUUCUCCCAGGUUCCCUCUGAUGUGGCUUUCCACUUCUCCGCCCCUAGAGUAUUGUUCCCUUCCUCU